rnacentral:snRNA from 1 species
GUGCUCACUUCGGCCGCACAUACACUAAAAUUGGAAUGAUACAGAGAAGAUUAUCAUGACCCCUGCGCAAGGAUGACAUGCAAAUUCGUGAAGCAUUCCAUAUUUUA